CCUCUUCUGACCUUUCCCGGAAGAAGUCUCUCUCUUUCUCUCUCUCUCUGCCGCCAGCCAGGCCUCCUGCUGGUUACUCCAAUCCUCUAACCUCCCGGGUCUCCAAGUCACCCUGUGCUUUAGGAGUCUUGCUGGUAAAAAUGCCUCCUUUCUUUCACCGGAAAUCUUUCCAUUCCCUAAGAGGUACAGGAGGAAGCCUGUCUACAGGACUGUGCCUCACAAGGACCUCUUCCCUCUGACAGCCCCUGGACUGGCGGCUGUCACUGGGUUGGGAGAGUUGCAGUUCAGGAAUCAGCAUCCUUUCCACAGAGAAUUUUAGCCUGAACUUGGGGACUGUGACUAAACCCCAGUCCCUUUCACAGGCCAGCCCCUUCAAGUUCAGAGGGAUCAUGCAAAUGAGGCCCCAAGGCCUGCCUGGAGCAUCUCAGAGUUCCCCCAGGCAAAUGCAGUUUAAAGCAGACAACCUGAAAUUAAAACACAGAAAUAAACAACUGAAGAGGGUCUCCUUUGCCUUUCUCAGUGUGGAAGAGAUGACUUGUACCAGGGUCCAAGUCUUCAAGAUGAUGGAGAGGGAAGGAGCUGUCAUGCUGUGGGUUAGCCCAAGCAGAGAUCUCCACGUGAAUAAGAGUCGAGGCCACCGGCCAACAGCCUUGGCUGAGUUCCCAGGCAACAAUGAGCACCACUUGCCAGCCAUGUGAGUGAGCCUUUCUGGACAUGGAGCUGCCUCAGUCUACACAACAUGGAGCAGAGAUGAGCCAUUUCUGCUAAGCCCUGCCCAAAUUACAAAACCAGACUAAAUAAAUUGUUGUUUUAAACUGU
rnacentral:lncRNA from 1 species